rnacentral:rRNA from 1 species
AUUGAACGCUGGCGGCAUGCCUUACACAUGCAAGUCGAACGGUAACAGGUCUUCGGAUGCUGACGAGUGGCGAACGGGUGAGUAAUACAUCGGAACGUGCCCGAGAGUGGGGGAUAACGAGGCGAAAGCUUUGCUAAUACCGCAUACGAUCUCAGGAUGAAAGCAGGGGACCGCAAGGCCUUGCGCUCACGGAGCGGCCGAUGGCAGAUUAGGUUGUGGGUGGGAUAAAAGCUUACCAAGCCGACGAUCUGUAGCUGGUCUGAGAGGACGACCAGCCACACUGGGACGGGGACACAGCCCAGACUCCUACGGGAGGCAGCAGUGGGGAAUUUUGGACAAUGGGCGCAAGCCUGAUCCAGCCAUGCCGCGUGCAGGAUGAAGGCCUUCGGGUUGUAAACUGCUUUUGUACGGAACGAAAAGACUCUGGUUAAUACCUGGGGUCCAUGACGGUACCGUAAGAAUAAGCACCGGCUAACUACGUGCCAGCCGCCGCGGUAAUAC